GUGCUUGCUUCAGCAGCACAUAUACUAAAAUUGGAACUAUACAGAGAAGAUUAGCACUGCCCCUGCAUAAGGAUGACGUGCAAAUUCAUGAAGCGUUCCAUAUUUUU
ensembl:snRNA U6 U6 spliceosomal RNA